UAAUACGUAGGGGGCUAGCGUUGUCCGGAAUCAUUGGGCGUAAAGCGCGCGUAGGCGGCCCGAUAAGUCCGCUGUAAAAGUCCAGGGCUCAACCCUGGAAAGCCGGUGGAUACUGUCGGGCUAGAGUCCGGAAGAGGCGAGUGGAAUUCCUGGUGUAGCGGUGGAAUGCGCAGAUAUCAGGAGGAACACCAAUAGCGAAGGCAGCUCGCUGGGACGGCACUGACGCUGAGGCGCGAAAGCGUGGGGAGCGAACAGGAUUAGAUACCCUGGUAGUCCACGCCGUAAACGAUGGGUACUAGGUGUGGGGGGUGUCGACUCCCCCCGUGCCGGCGCUAACGCAUUAAGUACCCCGCCUGGGGAGUACGGCCGCAAGGCUA
rnacentral:rRNA from 1 species